CCGGUGCUUGCACCGGGGAUUAGUGGCGAACGGGUGAGUAACACGUGAGUAACCUGCCCUUGACUCUGGGAUAAGCCUGGGAAACCGGGUCUAAUACCGGAUACGACCUUUCACCGCAUGGUGGUUGGUGGAAAGAUUUUUUGGUUUUGGAUGGACUCGCGGCCUAUCAGCUUGUUGGUGAGGUAAUGGCUCACCAAGGCGACGACGGGUAGCCGGCCUGAGAGGGUGACCGGCCACACUGGGACUGAGACACGGCCCAGACUCCUACGGGAGGCAGCAGUGGGGAAUAUUGCACAAUGGGCGAAAGCCUGAUGCAGCGACGCCGCGUGAGGGAUGACGGCCUUCGGGUUGUAAACCUCUUUCAGCAGGGAAGAAGCGAAAGUGACGGUACCUGCAGAAGAAGCGCCGGCUAACUACGUGCCAGCAGCCGCGGUAAUACGUAGGGCGCAAGCGUUGUCCGGAAUUAUUGGGCGUAAAGAGCUCGUAGGCGGUUUGUCGCGUCUGCUGUGAAAGCCCGGGGCUCAACCCCGGGUCUGCAGUGGGUACGGGCAGACUAGAGUGCAGUAGGGGAGACUGGAAUUCCUGGUGUAGCGGUGAAAUGCGCAGAUAUCAGGAGGAACACCGAUGGCGAAGGCAGGUCUCUGGGCUGUAACUGACGCUGAGG
rnacentral:rRNA from 1 species